CCUACGGGUGGCAGCAGUGGGGAAUAUUGCACAAUGGCGGAAACCCUGAUGCAGCGACGCCGCGUGAAGGAAGAAGUAUUUCGGUAUGUAAACUUCUAUCAGCAGGGAAGAAAAUGACGGUACCUGACUAAGAAGCCCCGGCUAACUACGUGCCAGCAGCCGCGGUAAUACGUAGGGGGCAAGCGUUAUCUGGAUUUACCGGGUGUAAAGGGAGCGUAGGCGGCGAUGCAAGUCAGAAGGGAAAGCCCGGGGCUCAACUCCGGGACUGCUUUUGAAACUGUAUGGCUAGAGUGCAGGAGCGGCUAGUGGAAUUCCGAGUGUAGCGGUGAAAUGCGUAGAUAUUAGGAGGAACACCAGUGGCGAAGG
rnacentral:rRNA from 1 species